rnacentral:rRNA from 1 species
UGGGGAAUAUUGCACAAUGGGCGCAAGCCUGAUGCAGCCAUGCCGCGUGUGUGAAGAAGGCCUUCGGGUUGUAAAGCACUUUCAGCGGGGAGGAAGGCGGUGAGGUUAAUAACCUCAUCGAUUGACGUUACCCGCAGAAGAAGCACCGGCUAACUCCGUGCCAGCAGCCGCGGUAAUACGGAGGGUGCAAGCGUUAAUCGGAAUUACUGGGCGUAAAGCGCACGCAGGCGGUCUGUCAAGUCGGAUGUGAAAUCCCCGGGCUCAACCUGGGAACUGGAUUCGAAACUGGGAGGCUAGAGUCUGGGAGAGGGGGGGAGAAUUCCAGGUGUAGUGGUGAAAGGCGGGGAGAUCUGGAGGAAUACCGGUGGCGGAAGCGGCCCCCUGGACAAAGACUGACGCUCAGGUGCGAAAGCGUGGGGAGCAAACAGG